rfam:Nocardiopsis alba ATCC BAA-2165, complete genome.
GUCGGUCCUCGGUAGUGGUCUCCGGACACCGCCCUUUCGGGGGAGGUUCCGUGGGCUUCGAUCGAUGACCGGC